rnacentral:miRNA from 1 species
UUUGAUAAGCUAACAUGAGACAG